rnacentral:tRNA from 1 species
AGGGAUGUGGCUCAAUGAUGGAGCAUUUGUCUAGCAUACAAAAGGCUCUGUUUUCAUUCUUA